rnacentral:rRNA from 1 species
GUGCCUCCCUCGCGAACACCCUUGGUUUCCCGACAACGUCGGGGCGGCUUGGCGCUCUUAUCUCCCGACGACGUAAAACUCGCUAGGGCUGAUAGACGCCGGGCUAAACCAACGGAACAAAAAACCGGCGUGAAAUGCGCCAAGGAACAUGAAAGAGAGUGGGCUCUUCUGGUGUCAGCACUGCUGCGCCGGGACGGGCGUUGUCUUCUUGAUGAGUUUAUAAUGACUCUCGGCAACGGAUAUCUCGGCUCUUACAUCGAUGAAGAACGUAGCAAAAUGCGAUACUUGGUGUGAAUUGCAGAAUCCCGUGAACCAUCGAGUCUUUGAACGCAAGUUGCGCCCGAAUCCUUUUGGUCGAGGGCACGUCUGCCUGGGUGUCACGU